UGGGAUGAUUGCUUAAGACAGGAGUUUGAGGUUACAGUGAGCUAGGAUCACACCACUGCACUCCAGCCUGAGUGACAGAGCAAGACCCUGUCUC
rnacentral:miRNA from 1 species